rnacentral:rRNA from 1 species
UCACACAAGAAACCCAAAUUAACCGUAUGCGGCGUAAAGAGUGGUGCCAUGAUACCAUAACAACUAGGAUUGAAAUGUAACUAGGCUGUCAUAAGCUCAAGAUAUAUCUAAGAUCACCCUUAAGAUGAUCCUAGUACCUCUGAUUAAUUCAACCCCACGAAAGCUAGGGCACAAACUGGGAUUAGAUACCCCAUUAUGCCUAGCCCUAAAUCUUGAUGUUUACCACACCAAAGCAUCCGCCCGAGAACUACGAGCACAAACGCUUAAAACUCUAAGGACUUGGCGGUGCCCCAAACCCACCUAGAGGAGCCUGUUCUAUAAUCGAUAAUCCACGAUUCACCCAACCACCCCUCGCCAAAAGCAGCCUACAUACCGCCGUCGCCAGCCCACCUUCCCUGAGAGUCCCACAGUGAGCAUAACAGCCCAAGUCCGCUAGUAAGACAGGUCAAGGUAUAGCCUAUGGGGUGGAAGAAAUGGGCUACAUUUUCUAUAAUAGAAAA